rnacentral:misc_RNA from 1 species
GAAGAACGCAGCGAAAUGCGAUAAGUAAUGUGAAUUGCAGAAUUCAGUGAAUCAUCGAAUCUUUGAACGCACAUUGCGCCCGCUAGUAUUCUGGCGGGCAUGCCUGUCCGAGCGUCAUUUCAACCCUCAAGCCCCCGGGCUUGGUGUUGGGGAUCGGCGAGCCUCCGCGCCCGCCGUCCCCUAAAUCUAGUGGCGGUCUCGCUGUAGCUUCCUCUGCGUAGUAGCACACCUCGCACUGGGAAACAGCGCGGCCACGCCGUUAAACCCCCAACUUCUGAACGUUUGACCUCGGAUCAGGUAGGAAUACCCGCUGAACUUAAGCAUAUCAAUAAGCGGAGGA